UAGACAUAUAACACUGGACAAAAAAUGGACUAUGCGCUUUAAUAGUUCGUCAGCUAUUUAACAUUAAAACUUAAGUUACAUACAUAUGCAAGAAAUACGUUGAGGACCCCUGAAGUUGUUUUUUUAGGAUUAAUUUUUUUUCUGUGAUUAGAUGCCUACGAAUAAUUCAGCCAAGCCCACUCGCGAUGGUACUUUUGUCUACACCUUCCUUUCCGGACGCGACGACUAUUAUGUCCUGAACUCCAUUAAUGGGUUCCUUCCUUGGCAAUCCACGCGCCAGUAAAGCCACCUGGAAUUCGCUCAAUUGAUUUGAGUAAGAGCGCCGAACAAACUUGGUCAAUAAAGACACCAUGAUAAACCUGAUAUAUUUUGGACCAACAAUGCUUUUUUUCUACAAAUAAUAACUUUAAUAGUUCGUCAGCUAUUUAACAUUAAAACUUAAAUUACAUACAUAUGCAAGAAAAACGUUGAAGACCCCUAAAGUUGUUUUUUUUUAGUAUUAAUUUUUUUCUGUGGUUAGAUGCCUAAGAAUAAUUCAGCCAAGCUCACUCGCGAUGGUGCUUUUGUCUACACCUUCCUUUCCGGACGCGACGACUAUUAUGUCCUGAACUCCAUUAAUGGGUUCCUUCCUUGGCAAUCCACGCGCCAGUAAAGCCACCUGGAAUUCGCUCAAUUGAUUUGAGUAAGAGCGCCGAACAAACUUGGUCAAUAAAGGCACCAUGAUAAACCUGA